GACGAACGCUGGCGGCGUGCUUAACACAUGCAAGUCGAGCGGUGCGGCGAACGGGUGAGUAACGCGGGAGUAACUGCCCCCCUCUCUGGGAUAACAGUUGGAAACGGCUGCUAAUACCUGAUAUUGGGGGAUGACUCGCGUCCUAUCAGCUUGUUGGUGGGGUAGUGGCCUACCAAGGCGACGACGGGUAGCCGGCCUGAGAGGGCGACCGGCCACAUUGGGCUGAGAUACGGACCAAAGUCCUACGGGAGGCAGCAGGGGGGAAUAUUGCACAACGGGGCAAACCCUGAUGAAGAAACGCCGCGUGCGGGAUGACGGCCUUCGGGUUGUAAACCGCUUUAAGCUAUGACGCGUUAGUGGCAGAAGAAGCACCGGCUAACUACGUGCCAGCAGCCGCGGUAAUUC
rnacentral:rRNA from 1 species